UUUAAUCUGCUGUGGCAAAUCUGAAUUCUUUUCUGACAUUAGUGCUCCAAAGCUAAUUACCAAUUUUGUACGUAACGACCUCCUGACCAGACAAAAAUGGAUUUAUCCGAUAUCGAUUCAGAUAUAUCACUGAGCAGUAUUUUGGCAAGUACUGACGACGAAAGUGACAUGAGGAACACUGAUAAUUUGACAAAAACGUGUGACGAAUGUGGAAAAAAAUCAAUUGAUGCACAAAAGUUGGAAAAGAAGUUCAAGAAGCUGAAGAAGCGAUAUAUUAAAUUAUGCGUACGUUUUGCCGAAUCCGAAAUGAAAUGUAAAGAUUUAGAAAAAACCAAUGGCGCACAGCCCUCGAAAAUCUUUGAAUAAAUCAAUUGUCUCUUCGACAAUGUUGUUCCGAUGG